GAUGAACGCUAGCGGCAGGCCUAACACAUGCAAGUCGAGGGGUAUAGGGAGCUUGCUUCCUAGAGACCGGCGCACGGGUGCGUAACGCGUAUGCAAUCUACCUUGUACAGGGGAAUAGCCCAGAGAAAUUUGGAUUAAUGCCCCAUAGUAUUAUUAAAUGGCAUCCUUUAAUAAUUAAAGUUCCAACGGUACAAGAUGAGCAUGCGUCCUAUUAGUUAGUUGGUGUGGUAACGGCAUACCAAGACGAUGAUAGGUAGGGGUCCUGAGAGGGAGAUCCCCCACACUGGUACUGAGACACGGACCAGACUCCUACGGGAGGCAGCAGUGAGGAAUAUUGGACAAUGGGCGCAAGCCUGAUCCAGCCAUGCCGCGUGCAGGAAGACGGUCCUAUGGAUUGUAAACUGCUUUUAUACAGGAAGAAACACUGGUUCGUGAACCAGCUUGACGGUACUGUAAGAAUAAGGAUCGGCUAACUCCGUGCCAGCAGCCGAC
rnacentral:rRNA from 1 species